GGGGCCUUAGCUCAGUUGGUAGAGCGCUGCCUUUGCAAGGCAGAUGUCAGGAGUUCGAAUCUCCUAGGCUCCA
rfam:Rhodococcus sp. MEB064 contig_9, whole genome shotgun sequence.